rnacentral:lncRNA from 1 species
UGAGACUGAACAACACAGGGGAAAACCUGUCACAUAAGAAGAUCUGUUUUCCCAAAGAGUGACAGGCGGGCAAGGAAGGUGGCGUACUCUUCCUCUGGAAAAAUGAGGAGCCAAGGGCGACUAGACGGGUGUUCAUAG